CCCACACAUGCUAACUCAAUUUUGGCAUUCUCGGUUCUGGGACACACGUGGUGGUGAAAAAGGAUGGGAUGGACGGCAUCUUUCAACCCACAUCCUGUUUGAUUCCCCCGGGCACCCGGCUCGCCCGCACAACCCAACCUGUGGGGACCCCAGGGCCAGGCUGGGGCGCCUGAGCAUGGGCGAGCUGGAGGGAGAUGCAUUGCAAGACCCUGAAACUGGAGGCUUGGAGAGAAGAGAAAGGUGUUGAAGCUCCCAGCAAACAGGCUGUUGGUUUCUCCAGAAUCAGACAUCUGGGACCUUGGAAUCCAGGAAAGUGCUCAACAGAAGGGCGGUUGCUCCCUUGUCCCCAUCGACUCCUUGGCCCUUCUUGAGCAUCCACACUGCUUGGCAAGGCCAUCAACUAGUCCAGUCUGGUGCCCACCUCUUCUGCUGCCUGUGCCUGUCACCUGUCUCCAGUGUCACUUGACACUUAAGCAGCUCCCUGUAAAAAAUGCCUGAUCUACAGAGUGAGUUCCAGGACAACCAGGGCUACACAGAGAAACCCUGUCUCAAAAGACCAAAAA